AUACUUACCAGGCAGGGGAGGUACCAUGAUCAUGAAGAUGGUCUUCCCAGGGUAAGGCUUAUCCAUUGCACUCUGAAUGUGCUGACCCCUGAGAUUUCCAAAAAUGUAGGAAAUGCCACUGCAUAAUUUGUGGUAGUGGGGGACUGUGUUCACACUUUCCCCUG
ensembl:snRNA U1 U1 spliceosomal RNA